GCCAGGCUCCCUGUCACACACCUGUAGUCUCAGCUACUCCGGCUUCUGAGGCGGAAGGAUCACUUGAGCCCACAACUGGGCUGUAGUGCGCUAUGCCAAUGGCUUGUCGCACUAAGUUUGGCAUCAGUGUGGUGACCUGCGGGGAGCAGAGGACCACCAGGUUGCCUAAGGAGGGAGGAACCGGCCCGGGUCAAAAUGGAGCAGGUCAAAACUCCCGAUUAGUAGUGGGAUGGUGCCUAUAAAUAGCUACUGCACUGUAGCCUGGGCAGCACAGGGAGACCCUGUCUCU
rnacentral:SRP_RNA from 1 species